rnacentral:hammerhead_ribozyme from 1 species
GCACUGCUGAGGAGUCCCACAAUAGAACGAAACGAGUGUCCAGUGC